rnacentral:lncRNA from 1 species
CUUGCUUCAGCUACAAAAUCAACUUCGGGUAGAAGUACCUCCUCAUCAGACUGGGAGGGCCUUUGUUCUACUGAUUUUAUUCUUUGUCGCUUUGACUUUGGCUUAGAGGAGGGCUUUGGUAGGGUAUGCUUUUGUUUGGAAGUCAUAUCUGCACAAGCGUAAAGUGUGAGUGAUAAUAGAAAUACAGUGACAUAAGCACAUAAGUUAAGGAAAAAGUUCAAAAUGUGAUAAGCUUUGCGGUCGCAAAACCACAAUAUGGACCGUAGAGUCACCACAAAAAUGAUGUCCUCAAAAUUUGUUCAAUCUGCGAUGGAAUAUGCGGUCGCAUAACCACUAUGCAGACCGCAUCAUCAUCGCAGAAUAAACUUGCCCAAAACAUAUAGCAACAAAUGCAAUCGCAUAUCUCACCGCAAAGCUGAGAAUGCGACUGCAGAAUGACCACAGAAUUCAGGGCUCAUUCACAGGGGUCUCUGUUUCAUUUUGUAGUGGAUUUGCGGGCCGCAUUUCAGUUCUGCGACCGCAUAUCCACCGUAUUUUCACUAUUUUCCACAAACAAUUUUUGGGUUAAUUACGUGGUCACUAUGCAGACCGCUUAUUAAUUAUGCGAUCACAUAUUGACCGCAUUUUAUCAUCGUCCCUAGGGGACCUAGGGUUUGAUCCGCGACAAAACUACAGACCGCAUUUCAAGCAUGCAGACCGCAAAUGUCGUCUUUUUUGACAGAAACCCUAGUAUUCAACAAUGGCUAUCCUAAAUUUUGUUCUACCCCUUUUCCAACAUCAUUUUUAGCCCCAAAUCGAUGAGACCAACAAGAAAAUGCUACACAAACCAUUAGGGCUAAGUAUUUGCACAUAGAUUGCGACAUUGGUAAAAACGAAAGCAGGGGGACUCGAUGACAUACCAGAAUAGGGCACAGGUUGCACAAAUAAAGAUCUUGGGUGAUUAGAUUUGGUUCCCUUCAAGCUUGAUCAAACUUCCACUUUUCCGUGCCUCUCUAUUUUCUUUGUUUUCUUUUUUUCGUUUCUUUUGUUUUUGUUUUUUCUAUGUUUUGUUUCAGUGAGUAUUAGGCGAGGGAAACUUACCUGGAUCUGCGUUGUGUCUGGCGCAAGGGAGUUUUUCCAAUUAAAGGAUAAUCGAAACGGGAUUUGUUUAUUUAAUUCAGAGUCGCCACUUGUGAGAUUUAUGGUGUCCCAACUCACAGGUUGAAUCCCGAAUCAAGGAAAGAAUGACUCUAUAUUACAGUCUGCAUACCAGAAAUCCGGAUAAGGAAUUCUGUUAUCCCGGGAGAAGGUGUUAGGCAUACCGAAUUCCGUGGUUCUAGCAUGGUCGCUCAACUAUUAUAUUCGACUUAUUUAUCUGAUUUUAAUAAUUAUGUACAUAGUGCAAGUCAUGGUUCUUUUAACCGUUUUUCUUAUUAUUAUCAUUAUUUUAACAAAGUUAAAGCUUAAAGGGAAAGCAAAAGUCAAAGUUAAAGAAAAAAGCAAAAGUUAAAGCAAAAGAAAAAAGUUAAAAUAAAAGUCAAAAGUUAAAGUUAAAGCAAAAACUUAAGUUAAAGCAAAAUUUAAAGUGAAAGUUAAAAUUAAAGCAAAAGUUAAAGUUAAAGCGAAAGUUAAAAUUAAAGCAAAAGUUAAAGCAAAAAGGGUGUAAUUAUUUUUUGGGAAGGCCGUGAAAUUUUACUAAACGGCUCGUCCAGGAGUCUAAGUAACUUUACAGACACGUGUAAAGGGGCCCCGCAGCUUGCGUAUUUUUUUUUUGGCGAAGCAUGCCUCAUUUAUUAAUUUCUUUUAAAAGAAUUGCAACGUCGUGGAAAUGCACCUCGAACCACGUCACAACCAGUGUACACGUGAUCGUCGACACAUUAAGACUUCAUUGAGAUUUGGAUUUGGGUCACAUAAAUGUGCACCCGAGUUUAGAGAGAUAACAUUAUUAAAUAUGCGCCUAAAUAGUCUAACGCGUUAUUAUUUUGGGAAGACCGUGAAAUUCGCUAAACGGCAUGUACCGAAAUUUAAGCAUUUUAAUAUAUACAUUUACGAGGGCCACGCAAUUUGCGAUUUAAUUUGGCGUGGCGCACUUCAAUUCCAAUUCUAAAAGGAACUCAAACUAAGUCUUUGAGGACCAUAAUUAUAUCUUAAUUAACAUCCAGCGCCCCAAAUCUAUUUAAUGAAAUAUAAUGUAAUAAGGAAAUUGGGAUUCUGCCACUACUCAAAAAUAACCCAAAGACACUAAAUGUCACCUCCUCAUUAGCACGGCAAAACAAAAUGGUAAAUCAAAUACAUAGAAGAAUAAAAUUGUGCCAAGAAUUAGCAAGAAACUUAAAACUGGAACAUAUACUGCAAUAACAUAAAAUAUUUCAACAGCUUGUUUGAUCCCAAAUAUCUAAUAAGUGAAACAGAAUAACUGAAACAAAAGAAAUUAAAAAAUGGCACAUAACCAACCUAAAAGAAUGAAGCACCCGAAAGGGAUAUCAUAGCUAAAUUUUGUAUCGAUAAAAGACGCAGACCCAAUACAUGCCUAGUAAACCUUGUAUUGACUUAUAUGACCCAAUUCAUUGACUUUUAAGUCCAUAUUUGGAACAUCACCAUAAAUUUAUAAGCACUACGGCAUUGAAGAAGCAAGCUCACUUUCAUUCCAGGAAUCAGAGGAAGGCAUUCUGUCCGGUAAUGAAGUUAGAAGUUUCCGGCUUGCUUUCUCUCUUCUCUUGCAGUUGGCAGUCUCAGUCAACCUUGUUCCGGGCCUUCUCUUCUAUGAUGAAUUAAAAUCACUGAUAACACCCAAACAACAAAAUCUCACUCAAGCAAGCCUGCGUGCUAAACAUAGGAACAAAUAAUCAAAGACCCAUAAGUAUUCAGCUAAAGAAAGCAAAACACGGCCAUAUAUUGUUGAAUCAAUAUGUAAAUGAAAGGAGAUGCACCUUUGUAUAAAUGAGAUAAACCCAGAAUCAGGACUUUGACCGGAACAGAUGGAGUGAAAACCAGAUCUGAAAGCGACCCCGGCGAAACCUCGGACGCGAAACCACUCAGGCGACCUCGAAGCUUACCAAACCGAAACUCGAAACUACAGUGGCUCUAUGUUGAGGCGUAGCAGAUUUUGGGUGGUUUUGACUGCUUUUUCGACCUCGAGUUGAUUUUAGAACUGUUUGGCACUAUUUUUCGCUGCAGCUUUUGAGUGUUUUUGAGGGGUGAUUUCAAUCUAUUUUUGGGGUAAUUUGGAGCUGAAGAAAUGGCUAUGAUCGUUUGGUUCGAACGCAGACCAAGCAACGGACAACUGCUCGGAUGGAGCUGGAACGAAGGCUGUUUGAUAGUGACAGUGGUGAGAGCUGCUCCCGUGUGGAAGGUGGUCGUGGAGGUGGACGACGCCGACGAGGGCUGGGUCGAAGGUGUCGUUUAGAGGCAGAAGGCUGGUGGGAUUAUGGAGGUUAGGAUUUUGUGAUUAGGGUCUCAUGGAGAAGAUCCAGAAGCCAUGGUCUUCCAAAAAAUCUGUUCUCCUCCUAAAAUCUCCAUCUCCUCCUACCUAUUUCGAAAUCUAAUAUCUAAUGUGAUAUGUGUAUUUGUUCUUUUUAAAAAAGUCUCACCGACUUGUCAAUCACGUGUAGUGCCCCUUGUAAGAUAUAUGGAUUUAUAUCUAGAUAUAUGGACUUAUAUCUACACACAUAUGAACA